CUGAAAGAGGACGUCCUCAAAAAGGAAUUGAUGUGGCUGUACGCGCGUAUGAUCUUCGCGUAAAAAAAAUUGCACAUAAGUAUAUAUGCGACUGAAUUUCCGUGUAUUACAACAGUAGCCGGUAAAACCUAAUAAGCUCCGGUUCUAUACGGUUAAUCGGGAAGUUCUCCGGUAAAAAGGUUUUAUAACGAGUUGCAAAGCAUUGUACGGGGUCUAUUGUAUGAAAUCCCGUCUCGGCUGUAGAAGCGGGAAAAUGCGUCGUUCUGAGAUGACGGUUUUCAGUGCUGAAGUGUGUUUUUAAUCGUUAUUGUUGUAAAAUUACUGUGCCUGGAAUAUGGUGGUGAAUGCUACAUCGUGUCAUCUAGCUUCGUUUUUCAUUGGAAUAGCAGAAAUAUGUUUCAUGACAGCGCCAGUGGGUCAGUGCGCGCAUUGCUGCCCAAGAGAUGACGCCGUCGAUAUACAGUAUAAGUUAUUUACUAGGUUAAAUCCCACGACGUUUCAAAUUCUGCCGCCAAAUGACGUCAACGGUAUACGUGCCACGAAUUUUAACUUCGCCAAUCCGACUGUCAUUUAUUUGAUGGGAUUUUCGGAGUCCACUAGUGGAGUUGGAACUAGCACAGUAAGAGAUGCGCAUCUCGCGGCAGCAGACUAUAAUUUUAUCGCCGUUGACUGGUCGCGGCUCAUUGUGUUCCCUUGGUACGUAUCAGCAGUCCGCAACACUCGCUACAUGGGCGUUCGUCUAGCUGACUUCAUACAAUUCCUGAACUCCAUCGGGGUGCCAGCAUCGUCUAUCCACGUGGUCGGGUUCUCUCUGGGGGCCGAAGCCGCAGGGUUCACCGGCAAGAACUUGCGGUCGCGGGGGUUACUGCUCGGCAGGAUUACAGGUUUAGACCCAGCCUACCCCGGUUACAGCCUGUCAAACAACGACGGCCAUCUUGCCAAAGGUGAUGCGGCCUUCGUGGACGUUCUACACACGAACCCCGGAGUCUUCGGGUUUCUUCGGCCUAUUGGUGAUGUGGACUUCUAUGCCAAUCCUGGCAGUUGGAUCCAGCCUGGCUGCUGGGUGGACGAGCUCAUUAAGAACCGAGAGUUUAGACGGGUGCAGUCACGUCCGCGCUUGGCGUCUCUACUCAGAGUCUCUGAGUAAUCCCCGAGGGUUCCCGGCGACUCUGUGCCUCGAUUGGACCUCUGCCACGAGGCCUUGCAGCUUCCAAGGCGACGGGUACAUGGGCAUCGCAGCUGGGCCGCCGAUGUCCGGCAAAAUGUACUUCAAAACAAAUGGUAGUCCGCCCUUCGCAAGAAAUGGACCAUAGAUGAUACAGAUGUGUGAUAAAUUAAACAGUAUGUAAAAUGAA
rnacentral:misc_RNA from 1 species